GCUGUGGUGCAGGCUGGCAGGGCAGGAGCUGACCUUUCCGGAAUGGAAUGCUGCCUGAGCAGUCAGCUCCAGAAGGGAAGGGGGCGUUGGGCCAUUUCCCUCACCCUCUCCAGUCCUCAGCUCCCCUGAGACAGGUCUCGGAGCCCUGGCCUCUCUUGUGGGGAAGGGGGCAGGUGAGGCUGGCUGACUGUGUGGACACUUGCCUGAUCACUUCAAGUCAAGCCACCUGGGCCAGGCUGAUUCCAACCUGACUAGGGAUAAGCUUCACAACAAAUCUACGAAGCAGACAGACACUGUUUACCUCCUGGAGGCUAUCCAAGACCACACAGCUGGAACCAGGGUUUGCUCUACAGACCAUGGUCUCAGCGACGAUCACUGCUGCCUCCUGGGCAGGGACCACCCGAGGAACUGAGAAUGCUGGAAGCCAAGCUUGCACAUUCUAGGCAGCCAUUUGGAAGAUUCUUCUCUGCGCAUGACCAGCUGAAAAGGAAAAACCCCGAAACAUUGGCACUGUGAUUUCUCCAUGUGAACAGUUUAGUUCGCCGAGGGGGACAUGCCUCAUUCAUGCUUAUGGAGUGACCGACCAGCCUUUAGUGACACCCCCUGAAAUGUGAGUCAUCCAUGGGUCACUAGUCAUUGGAGAAGAGCCCCUCACACAAAAAUUGGAGCUCAGACCACAAACAACAACAACAAUCCAAAAAAUAAAAAAAUGAAAAAUUAGGAGCAGAGACUAAAUGGAAAGAUGGAAAUAUUAAAAUAAAAAUAUUA
rnacentral:lncRNA from 1 species